UUUUGAGAUCAAUUGGGUACCAGACAACGAUUCUGGAUUAUUUUUCCUGCUUUUUUUACUUGAUUUUUGAGAGCAGUCAAGUUCAUUUUUAGUAUUCUCGUUUGUGAGAGCAGUCAAGUUUAUUUCAGAUACUCUCAUUUUAACAAUCAUCUCUGACUAAUCAUUGAAAGGACGUUGGUGUUGCCUUGGCAGAGGUUUGCACUCUCUGAGUGCUCUUGUUCAUAUUUAUACUGAUGGUGGUGAA